UUCCCUCCGAAGUUUCCCUCAGGAUAGCUGGAGCCCUUAGCGAGUUCUAUCGGGUAAAGCCAAUGAUUAGAGGCAUCGGGGGCGCAACGCCCUCGACCUAUUCUCAAACUUUAAAUAGGUAGGACGGUGCGGCUGCUUCGUUGAGCAGCGCCACGAAAUCUAGAGCUCCAAGUGGGCCAUUUUUGGUAAGCAGAACUGGCUAUGCGGGAUGAACCGGAAGCCGGGUUACGGUGCCCAACUGCGCGCUAACCUAGAACCCACAAAGGGUGUUGGUCGAUUAAGACAGCAGCACGGUGGUCAUGGAAGUCGGAAUCCGCUAAGGAGUGUGUAACAACUCACCUGCCGAAUCAACUAGCCCCGAAAAUGGAUGGCGCUGAAGCGCGUGACCUAUACCCGGCCGUCGGGGCAAGAGCCAAGCCCCGAUGAGUAAGAGGCCGUGGCGUUCGCCGUAAAACCCGGGGCGCGAGCCCAGGCGGAGCGGACGUCGGUGCAGAUCUUGGUGGUAGUACGGCCCGCGAGGAGUAGGAGGGCAUGGCAGUCGCCGCAAAACCCGGGGCGCGAGCCCUGGUGGAGCGGCCGUCAGUG
rnacentral:ncRNA from 1 species